rnacentral:lncRNA from 1 species
GUUCAUUUGUAAAUGUUUGAAAAAGUAACAUGUCAACUUAAAUGAUGUUUCAAAUUCAAAUAAAUCAUUUAUUACCACAGAUCUAAAAUGCAGAAUUUCAGAAUUCGUCAAUUCUGAAUUCUUUCACCAUUAAGGUUGAUAUAAAAAAAUAAGCCAUUACUAUGUAAUUGAGGGGCGUGCAAAAGAAACAAUUAAUUUUAAUACAUAUUGAUACAGAUCAUCUCUUAAUUCAAAAUACUACAACUACAGGAUUGUUUGACAACCUUGAAUAUAAAUAAAGAUAAUGUAAUCAGCAUAAAAUUCCACCUUGAUUACAUAUACACCAAACAUAUUCUGAUAAAUAAAAAAAUAUUAAAGGGACACAACUCCUGAAAAUAACAUAUAUUU